UCCCUGAUAGCUCAGUUGGUAAAGAAUCUGCCUGCAAUAUAGAAGACCCCAGUUCGAUUUCUGGGUCGGGAAG
rfam:TPA: Bos taurus chromosome X, whole genome shotgun sequence.